rnacentral:tRNA from 1 species
GGAUCACUAACUCAAUGGUAGAGUAACCGGCUUUUAACCGGUAUGUUCCGGGUUCGAUUCCCGGGUGAUCCA